rnacentral:rRNA from 1 species
UACGUAGUUAGCCGGGGCUUAUUCCUUUGGUACCGUCAUUUAUUCGUUCCAAAGAAAAGAGCUUUACAAUAAAAUUACCUUCAUCACUCACGCGGCAUUGCUGGGUCAGAGUUGCCUCCAUUGCCCAAUAUUCCCCACUGCUGCCUCCCGUAGGAGUCUGGGCCGUGUUUCAGUCCCAAUGUGGCCGAUCAGCCUCUCAGCUCGGCUACCCAUCGUAGGCUUGGUGGGCUGUUAUCUCACCAACUACCUAAUGGGAUAUGAGCCCAUCUCUAUCCGAUAAAACUCUUUUACCGCUGCACGAUGCCGUGCUGUGGUCAUAUACCGUAUUACCAGUCGUUUCCAACUGCUAUCCCGUUGAUAGAGGCAGGUUGCUCAUACAUUACUCACCCGUUCGCCACUAACUUUCAUCCCGAAGGAAUCAGUCCGUUCGACUUGCAUGUGUUAAGCAUGCCGCCAGCGUUCGUCUCGUAGCACGAGUCAACGUACUCUCGUA